AGAGGAGGAGGAAGAAGAGAGGGUCGAGGAAGUGGAGGAGGAGGAGGAGGGUCUUCCACACGACGUCUCUCCCCCACCAGAGGACAAACAUCGACUGACUACCCAACAGGAGCAGCAGCAGCAGCCACCCAGCCAGAGCCAGGCCGGCAACCCCAACCAGUGGAAAGAGACAGCAGUAACAAGAAGAAGAAGAAGAAGAAGAAGAAGGUUUUAUCACCACAAGAAGCAAAGAAAACUAAAACAAUAAAAAAGAAGCGAGAAGAAGACAACAGACUGACAAGAAGAAUGGAAGCACCUCCCCAUCACACCUAGAUUUUUCCCCCUUUACCUAAACACAGCGAGACAUAAGCACUCCACUUACCCUACCCCACCCCCUCCACCAUAACAACAUACAGCACGACACUCCCAUCAUGUUGCUGUCUCCUCCACUUAGCGCCACUUUCCCGUCCAUGAAUAUUAUAACGAAACUUUCCUCCUUCACCUGCAAUAUCAAUCUGACCAUGUUUUUUUUAAUCCUCAAGGUCAAGAAAUAAUGGGCUGAAGGCUUAAUGAAGUUAGAUUUCUAUAAAGGGAUAAGAAGAAACUGUUUAUUUUUUUAAUGUAGUAGAUGAAUGGAAUAGACUCAGUGAUCAGGUUGUCAGUGUUGAGUCAAUGAUGGUUAUAAAGUUGAAAUAUAUAUAUAAAAAUGAAUGAUAAGCCACUUUAUUACAUUUUUCGUUUUC